rnacentral:lncRNA from 1 species
UUGGAUAUGGCCUUCGGCCAAUAGAAAUGAAGAUCUCCAUUCUUUGCCUUCAUCCAACCAUGCCUUGCUUUCAUUCCUCCCAGUAAGCCUCCUAAUAGUUUAGACUUUCAUCUUUAGACUCCAACCUUCUCUUAAGCUUUAUACUAAAUAUCUAAUUUCUACAUAAUAUAAACACUAUAAUCAAAAUAGAUAAAUCUCCAAAUAUAUUUCCUUAUAUCAAUUCUCUUUAAAUUUAUUUACUAACCACCCUAA